rnacentral:rRNA from 1 species
GAUGAGCCUGCGGCCCAUCAGCUAGUUGGUAGGGUAAUGGCCUACCAAGGCGAAGACGGGUAGCUGGUCUGAGAGGACGAUCAGCCACACUGGAACUGAGACACGGUCCAGACUCCUACGGGAGGCAGCAGUGGGGAAUCUUGCGCAAUGGGCGAAAGCCUGACGCAGCGACGCCGCGUGAGUGAUGAAGGCCUUCGGGUUGUAAAGCUCUGUGGAGGGGGACGAAUAAGGGCCGUCGAAUAGACGGCCCGAUGACGGUACCCCUUUAGCAAGCACCGGCUAACUCUGUGCCAGCAGCCGCGGUAAGACAGAGGGUGCAAACGUUGUUCGGAAUUACUGGGCGUAAAGCGCGUGUAGGCGGCUCGGAAAGUCGGGUGUGAAAGCCCUGGGCUCAACCUAGGAAGUGCACUCGAAACUUCCGAGCUGGAGUUCUGGAGAGGAAGGCGGAAUUCUCGGUGUAGAGGUGAAAUUCGUAGAUAUCGAGAGGAACACCGGUGGCGAAGGCGGCCUUCUGGACAGCAACUGACGCUGAGACGCGAAAGCGUGGGGAGCAAACAGGAUUAGAUACCCUGGUAGUCCACGCCGUAAACGAUGGGUGCUAGGUGU